UUUAUUAUGCCCACCCUUACCAUAUCUUUUGUUUUCUCUCUCUCUCUCUCUCUCUCUCUCUCUCUCUCAUUUUGAUCAUCAUGUUCAAAUUCUUUCCCCCUUUCUCUCUUUGCUCUCAAGCUUUCUAUCUCCUCAAACCCUAAAUUUCCUUCCUCUGCUACUCUCAAAAGUUACCAUUGACAAGUUGAAGAUUGGGGUUGUAGAUAAGCUUCACCAAGGACUCUUGGAGCUGGUUUAUCUUGUUACUUCCUAAUGACAUUGGUGGAGAGAAUAGGCGGCGCUUCAUAUCUGAUUAGCAAAAGGGAAUAGUGCAAGUAUUUGAGGAAUAAUGUACUGAUAUUGAGCAGGAAAAUUGAUGCAUUUAAAAGUAGUAUAAAAUUGUGCAUAUAUGAGUCCAAAUAGUGUUGAAUAGAGGUGAAGUCAACUUGAAACCGCUCAAGUCAGACAUUAGUUCAAUUCAGUUGUGCAUGGCCAGAUAACACAGGUUUUGGUGAGAUAUAAUUACUCUUGGGAAGCACUUUCACUUGCAACAAGAAACAAGUAACAACUACUCAUUUGCAACCCAUUUUUCUACCAUGGAAUCAAUGAAAUCAAUCGGCAUGAUCCCUUGAGGAGGUGGUAGAAUUAAUAGAUGUGAGAACAAUGUGCAUGGAUGAUAACUUUGAGGAGUUUGAAUGGUUAGAGUCAAGGUCAAAUUUCAAAGGCUGAUAAUUUAAAGCUGUAGAUCUAAAAAUCUGUAAUGGUUAGAGUUAGAUAAGAAAUAUUUGAACUCCAUAUUUGGUUUGCAUGUUAUUUGUGGGCAACAAUGUGGAAGAAUUAAUUGGUGAUGUUGCCGCAAGGAAAACAUGGUGCCUUUGGAAGAUAGAAGUAAAUGAUCCCAAGAUUAUGGAGAAAAGUGUUCUGCAAUUACCUCAGUCAAUGUAAAGACUUGUGAUUUAAUAGGAAACAGUUGUAUAGAGCUUGUUGAUUCCGCGACUGGUGAUAGUUGUCUUUGUGAUCUUCACAUAAGUGUGAAGGAGGACUGUAUGGAGAAGUUCAUAUGCAAUUGGUAGUAUGAACUUGCAAAGGACAUGCGGCUGAAAAAAGGAGAUGUGUUGGGAUUUAGCAUCAAAUAUCCCCCGACUAGAAGCAUGACCGUGACUCAUUUAUACCGUUGAAUCCAAAUAUUAUCGUUUUCAGAUGCAUUGCUUUAUUUUGUUGACAAGGAUGUAUUUCUUUUUUCUGAACAAUGAUGUAAUUUAGUUUUUGGAAGUGUUAUGUGAUUGUACAUCUUAUUGAACCAGUGUUAUGUGAUGUACUAAUUGUUAGGUUUUUAUGAAUUUCUUGUAU